rnacentral:rRNA from 1 species
GAUGAACGCUGGCGGCGUGCCUAAUACAUGCAAGUAGAACGCUGAAGCUUGGUGCUUGCACCGAGCGGAUGAGUUGCGAACGGGUGAGUAACGCGUAGGUAACCUGCCUCUUAGCGGGGGAUAACUAUUGGAAACGAUAGCUAAUACCGCAUAAAAGUCGAUAUCGCAUGAUGUUGACUUGAAAGGUGCAAUUGCAUCACUAAGAGAUGGACCUGCGUUGUAUUAGCUAGUUGGUGAGGUAACGGCUCACCAAGGCGACGAUACAUAGCCGACCUGAGAGGGUGAUCGGCCACACUGGGACUGAGACACGGCCCAGACUCCUACGGGAGGCAGCAGUAGGGAAUCUUCGGCAAUGGGGGCAACCCUGACCGAGCAACGCCGCGUGAGUGAAGAAGGUUUUCGGAUCGUAAAGCUCUGUUGUAAGAGAAGAACGAGUGUGAGAGUGGAAAGUUCACACUG